rnacentral:misc_RNA from 1 species
GUGGGAGGGGGCUUGCUCCCGAUGACGUUCGGUCAGUCAAUGGAUCUGGCGACUGAUACACCGCUAUCGGGAGUAAGCUCCCUCCCAC